rnacentral:tRNA from 1 species
GGGCCGAUACAGGGCUAGGCACACUGGCAGUGUGGGGGUCAGGGGUUCGAGUCCCCUUAGCUCCA